GCGGGGGUUCCCGAGACCAACCUUAAGGCGGGAAUCAGGAUCCUGUGGCGUAGGCCUUCGUGGGUUCGAAUCCCACCCCCCGCACCA
rnacentral:tRNA from 1 species